GACGAACGCUGGCGGCGUGCUUAACACAUGCAAGUCGAACGGAAAGGCCCUGCUUUUGUGGGGUGCUCGAGUGGCGAACGGGUGAGUAACACGUGAGUAACCUGCCCUUGACUUUGGGAUAACUUCAGGAAACUGGGGCUAAUACCGGAUAGGAGCUCCUGCUGCAUGGUGGGGGUUGGAAAGUUUCGGCGGUUGGGGAUGGACUCGCGGCUUAUCAGCUUGUUGGUGGGGUAGUGGCUUACCAAGGCUUUGACGGGUAGCCGGCCUGAGAGGGUGACCGGCCACAUUGGGACUGCGAUACGGCCCAGCCUCCUACGGGAGGCAGCAGUGGGGAAUAUUGCCCAAUGGGCGGAAGCCUGAUGCAGCAACGCCGCGUGCGGGAUGGCGGCCUUCGGGUUGUAAACCGCUUUCGCCUGUGACGAAGCGUGAGUGACGGUAAUGGGUAAAGAAGCACCGGCUAACUACGUG
rnacentral:rRNA from 1 species